ACUGGGCCCCGGAGACGACCGCCCCGGCGACCAGGAGGGAAGGUGCACGCCUCUGAGCCGGCCCGGAGGGGGCUGGGGCUUGAUGGGGUCGCAGGAGGCCCGUGGCGCCCAGGGCCCGCCGUCCCCUCCGCGUCACAGCGGCCAGCCCGGCUUUGCAGCUGCCGCAGCCUCACGGGACCACAGCCUGGCACAACGCUCUUUUUUGAAAGCUCAUGACUCAGCAAAGCAGGGACGCAUUUGACCAACUGACCCGUCCUCCUCCAACCCAGACCCAUUUCUGUCCCAGGAGAAACUGAAUCUGUGCGUUUAUGGUUCGUCUGCGCUUAACUCGUCAAGAGCUGUUUGGAAUGAAAGAAGCUCUUGGAUCCUAGUGCUUCUGUGAUUUUCAUCCUUAGAAUCGAAAAGUGUCCUUUCGCAGAGAAUCGACGGCGAUGUGAUGCCCUACAGGCACGUGCGUCAGGUACGCGGAACUGCAGGGCUCAGGUGCAUCCUGGACACGCCGCUGCCGCUUUGCCUUCCUGCGCACACACACAUAUAAGGAACACAGGGUCACUAGGCACUGUUGUUCAAGUUGUUCACUGCACAAUCCUAGUAAGCACCUGUCACAAAAACUGUACAAUUCACAGCCAGAACUUCAUCUGGGAGCAUCACCACGCUGCAAGACCUUCAUUGACUAGACCAGAAAUUCUAUCUCGACUUGCCGGAUCUGCAAGGACUUGCAGGGGCCUCGUGCAUGUUAAGAUGGUUCGUGCUACCAGGCUUUGGGUUUGUCUAUCCUGAGCUGCCGACGUCUAGAUGUAUGUGUUCGGAGAAGUUUCCUUUACUUCUUAAAACUUCUUCUGUGUCUUCAGAAGAAAACUUGGGAUGAGUCUAUGUCCCUCCGAGAGCGCAGUGCGUGGAGCUAACCCAUGCAGCGUGGCAGGGCCUUCUGGAACGUUCCGUGCGAAGGGUCCACAGAGAACGCCAACGGGGUGAGGGAGCCUCUGUUUGGAACUGUCUGGCAGAGGCGGACAGCGGGUCAGGAGGUCGUAGGCAACGGCCCUCCGGUGCCGCAGAACUCGACUGGUCGGUGGGGAACUAGAGACUGGAGAGCAAGUGAGAGGAAAGAUCGGGGCCGUCCCGCGUCCCAGUGGGUUGAACGGGAGCGCGAAGGCUGAGGGUGCAAAGGGUUCUCCUCUCCCGUGACACCUGGCUCUCUCCGUCGGGCAAUGCCCGGCUUCUGAAAAAAACUGAUAAAAAAAAUGGGGGCAGCGAGUUUUAAGAGUUAAAGGAUAUAACGAUGUACGUGACACACGCUGUGUGAACCUGACAGGAGGUCAAGAAAGGUCAGCUCCCUGUCGCCCUCCCUAAGGACACGGAUUCGCUCCGUCAGGGUCA